GUGCUUGCUUUGGCAGCACAUAUACUAAAAUUGGAAUGAUACAGAGAAGAUUAGCAUGGCCCCUGCACAAGGAUGACAUGCAAAUUCAUGAAGUGUUCCAUAUUUUU
rnacentral:snRNA from 1 species